UUGGAGGGCAAGUCUGGUGCCAGCAGCCGCGGUAAUUCCAGCUCCAAUAGCGUAUAUUAAAGUUGUUGCAGUUAAAAAGCUCGUAGUUGAAUUUCGGGAUCAGCAGGUUGGUCGUGCCACUGGUAUGCACUGGUCUAGCUGGUUCCUCCUUCUUGAAGAACCAUGAUGCCAUUUAGUUGGUGUUGCGGGGAAUCGGGACUGUUACUUUGAAAAAAUUAGAGUGUUUAAAGCAGGCUAGCGCUUGAAUACAUUAGCAUGGAAUAAUGAAAUAGGACGUCGAUUCUAUUUUGUUGGUUUCUAGGGUUGACGUAAUGAUUAAUAGGGAUAGUUGGGGGCACUAGUAUUCAAUUGUCAGAGGUGAAAUUCUUGGAUUUAUUGAAGACUAACUACUGCGAAAGCAUUUGCCAAGGAUGUUUUCAUUAAUCAAGAACGAAAGUUAGGGGAUCGAAGACGAUUAGAUACCGUCGUAGUCUUAACCAUAAACUAUGCCGACUAGGGAUCGGAUGAUGUUAAUUUUUUAAUGACUCAUUCGGCGCCUUACGGGAAAC
rnacentral:rRNA from 1 species